GCGCCAGUAGCUCAACGGAUAGAGCAGCUGACUACGGAUCAGCAGGUUGGGGGUUCGAAUCCCUUCUGGCGCACCA
rnacentral:tRNA from 3 species